AUACAGCAAAGGUUGGUGAUUUCAUAUCUUAACAAAGUUUAUAUUUAGUUAAUAUAAAUUUUGAGAACCAUCUCCGUGUUUCGACAUGAACUGCAAGAUACUAGUAUGCCUGUUUACAUUAUUUGCAUUGGCCGUCGCAGCAUACUUACCCGACCAUGACCACGUGGCCAAACUCCGUUCAUACAACUCCAGGACCGUGAACGUGGCACAACUUCGUGCACGUGACAGUCGCGGUGACAACCGUGGUGAUAACCUUCGUUCAUAUGACGCUAAUAAUGACAACGAGGCAAGACGCCGCAGCUAUUAUCAGCGUGGUAACCAACGUGACAAUCUCGAGUAAACCAAGAGGCAACAACCUCUGGUAACUAAUCAUAAAAAUACCACUAAUAGUGAAAAUAUAUUAACUACGAUGAAUAAA